rnacentral:lncRNA from 1 species
AAGUUUAUAUCACAAAAAUAGCACUCAAAAACUAAAAUGACCAAAAUAGCACCUUUCUAAGCCUAUCCUUUGAAAAUUUUAAUUUUUUUAUUUUUCAAAAUUUGAAAUCUUAUUCCCAAAACCUCAUUUCUCAACUCUAAACCCUAAACCCUAAACUCUAAACCCUAAACCCUAAACUCUAAACCCUAAACUCUAAACUCUAAACCCUAAACUCUAAACCCUAAACCCUAAACUCUAAACCCUAACCCCUAAACCCUAAACCCUAAAUCCUAAACCCCA